GUAGGAGCAGACGCCGGGCAGGCCGCGGCCCCUCCCCGCUCCCUCCUCGCGCGCCUCCGCCGGCUACAUUGCCCCUCCUGGGCAGGGGGCGGAGAAGACGGCGGCGGUAGGGGAGGAGGCGGCGGCGGCGGAGGCGGGAUUUGGAGUUUCCCUCCGCAGCGGCGGCGGCGGCGGCGGCGGCAGCGGCCGCUUGGCUCCAGGCGAGGCCGCCGCCCGAGGCUCCGGUGGGGCGCGGCGGCCGCGGCGGUAGUGCUUCCCGCCGGCCCGGCUUUUGGAAACUUCCCGGCCGCGACGCGCGGAGCCGGCACAGGAAGCCGAGCGGAACGGAGACAUCCCACCCACGUUCCCAGCCCAGAGACGCUGCCAUCCACCCACCCCUGGACGAAGCCCCAGCAGGAACCCCCACCCAGAGGCGACACCGCACUCCUGAAGCCCAGCUGGCUCCCCAGGCCUGCACCUUGUACACCCCCAACAUGUGUGCACACCUGUGGGAUUCUGGAUCUUGGGCACCCUGGCCCACCCCCAUGGCACAUAGCCCUCCACGUCCUCUAACACAUCUCAGUCCCUCCCACCAAGCACCCUCCAACACCUGGCACACGGGUUCUGGAGGCUGCAGCAUUUGGUGGCAUCUCUGCCAGGCGCCUCUGGCUCGCCUUUGCAGCAGUGGCUCGCCACCCUGAGGCCCCCCAAGUGGCUCCCUAAACAGGCCCUGAGUCUCCCCAGUGGCUGACUUGGCCUGGUCCCUAAGAGAUAAGAAAGGCACUGGGGGUGCAAGGUACCAUACUUAGAUGGGGGAGGGCAAGGGAGAGGCAGGCAACUGAGAUGGAGGCCACCCAGCUGCGGCCAAAGGGGCCCCAGGUAUUGGCACGCACGUAGUAGGUGGCUUUCCUGGAGGCAGGAGUCGGAGUACCCGUGUGUGUGUGUGUGUGUGUGUGUGCCCGCCUGCCCGUGCGGUGGGGGGCAGCGCGGGGGGGGGGGGGGGAACCGCGUGUGCACGUGUGCUUCUGCGUGUCUGGGUGUGUGACCCGCUGAGGGAGAAAGCAGAACCGGCCACCCCCCGGGCUCCCUGGUGCA
rnacentral:lncRNA from 1 species